UACGAACCGUGCGAACGUUAUUCGGAAUCACUGGGCUUAAAGGGCGCGUAGGCGGGCCGCCAAGUCAGGGGUGAAAUCCCACGGCUCAACCGUGGAAGUGCCUUUGAUACUGGCGGCCUCGAGGGAGGCAGGGGCGUGCGGAACUUUGGGUGGAGCGGUGAAAUGCGUAGAUAUCCAAAGGAACACCGGUGGCGAAAGCGGCGCGCUGGACCUCUUCUGACGCUGAGGCGCGAAAGCCAGGGGAGCAAACGGG
rnacentral:rRNA from 1 species